rnacentral:rRNA from 1 species
GCCAUGCAUGUCUAAGUAUAAAUUCUUGUACGAUGAAACUGCAGACGGCUCAUUACAACAGUGAUAAACUAAUAGACUUUCGGGUUUUUAACCUUUUGGAUAACCGCAGUAAAUCGGGGCUAAUACAUACAAGCGAUGGGUGACUGGCAACGGAAGCUCAGCGAUUAUUAGCAUUACUACCAAUACCUUCGGGUCUUGUGGUGAAACCGAAUAAUAUUGCAGAUCGAGGAUUUAUCUUCGACAAGUCUACUGUGUCACUGCCCUAUCAACUUUCGAUGGUACGGUAUUGGCCUACCAUGGUUGUAACGGGUAACGGGGAAUUAGGGUUCGAUUCCGGAGAGGGAGCCUGAGAAAUGGCUACCACUUCUACGGAAGGCAGCAGGCGCGCAAAUUACUCAAUCCCAAUACGGGGAAGUAGUGACAAUAAAUAUCAAUACCUAUCCUUAACGGAGGGCAAUUGAAAUGAACACAAAUUAAAACUCUUAAUUAACACAAUUGGAGGGCAAGUCUGGUGCCAGCAGCCGCGGUAAUUCCAGCUCCAAUAGCAUAUACUAAAGUUGUUGCAGUUAAAAAGCUCGUAGUUGAAGUUAAAGGUUUACUGGGCUAAAGUUAUUUGCCACUCUGGUGGUUAAAUCAACUCCAGUAUUCCUUUUUUUAAUAGCUCUGCUUCUAGCAUCUUUGAUGUUAGUUGUUUGGGCAUUUCACUGUGAGAAAAUUGUGGUGUUUAAAGCAGGCGUCUCGCCUGAUCUUUUGCAGCAUGGUAUGAUGAAACAUGACAUUUUACG